UACGUAGGGGGCUAGCGUUGUCCGGAAUCAUUGGGCGUAAAGCGCGUGUAGGCGGCCCGGUAAGUCCGCUGUGAAAGUCGGGGGGCUCAACCCUCGGAUGCCGGUGGAUACUGUCGGGCUUGAGUACGGAAGAGGCGAGUGGAAUUCCUGGUGUAGCGGUGAAAUGCGCAGAUAUCAGGAGGAACACCGAUUGCGAAGGCAGCUCGCUGGGACGUUACUGACGCUGAGACGCGAAAGCGUGGGGAGCAAACAGG
rnacentral:rRNA from 1 species